GAUGAACGCUGGCGGCGUGCCUAAGGCAUGCAAGUCGAACGAAGGCUUCGGCCUUAGUGGCGCACGGGUGCGUAACGCGUGGGAAUCUGCCCUCAGGUUCGGAAUAACAGCGAGAAAUUGCUGCUAAUACCGGAUGAUAUCGCGAGAUCAAAGAUUUAUCGCCUGAGGAUGAGCCCGCGUAGGAUUAGCUAGUUGGUGUGGUAAAGGCGCACCAAGGCGACGAUCCUUAGCUGGUCUGAGAGGAUGAUCAGCCACACUGGGACUGAGACACGGCCCAGACUCCUACGGGAGGCAGCAGUGGGGAAUAUUGGACAAUGGGCGAAAGCCUGAUCCAGCAAUGCCGCGUGAGUGAUGAAGGCCUUAGGGUUGUAAAGCUCUUUUACCCGGGAUGAUAAUGACAGUACCGGGAGAAUAAGCUCCGGCUAACUCCGUGCCAGCAGCCGCCGUAA
rnacentral:rRNA from 1 species